rnacentral:rRNA from 1 species
ACGUAGGGGGCAAGCGUUGUCCGGAUUUAUUGGGCGUAAAGAGCGUGUAGGCGGCCAGGUAGGUCGGUUGUGAAAACUAGAGGCUCAACCUCUAGACGUCGACCGAAACCAUCUGGCUAGAGUCCGGAAGAGGAGAGUGGAAUUCCUGGUGUAGCGGUGAAAUGCGCAGAUAUCAGGAAGAACACCGAUGGCGAAGGCAGCUCUCUGGGACGGUACUGACGCUGAGACGCGAAAGCGUGGGGAGCAAACAGGAUUAGAUACCCUGGUAGUCCACGCCGUAAACGAUGGGUGCUAGGUGUGGGAGGUGUCGACUCCUCCCGUGCCGCAGCUAACGCAUUAAGCACCCCGCCUGGGGAGUACGGCCGCAAGGCUA